rnacentral:RNase_P_RNA from 3 species
CGACGUCGGAUGGCAGCCGCUCCAGCCUGGCCGCAAGGUCCGGUUGGGGAGGAAAGUCCGGACUCCACAGUGCGGGAAGUCCCGAGCGCGCAAGCGCCUCGGGAUACUGCGGACUAUAUUCCGCGGGAAGGAAAGUGCCACAGAGAACAUACCGCCCCCCUGCAAAGGGGAGUAAGGGUGAAAAGGCGGGGUAAGAGCCCACCGGGUUCGUCCGAGAGGAAGGAUCGCAUGGCAAACCCCUUCCGGAGCAAGACCAAAUAGGGGAUGAUGCUGCUGCACGCAGCGCUUGAAUUCCGGGUAUUGGUCGCAUAGACAGAUGGUUGCCGGCGGAGAUGCGCGAGCAUUUCCGUGCACAGAAUCCGGCUUAUUUCCGGCGUCGCGCU